rnacentral:misc_RNA from 1 species
AACGCACAUUGCGCCCUGUGGUAUUCCGCAGGGCAUGCCUGUUCGAGCGUCAUUACAACCACUCAAGCCUGGCUUGGUAUUGGGGUCUGCGGUUCCGCAGCCCCUAAAAUCAGUGGCGGUGCCGGUGUGGCUCUACGCGUAGUAAUUCUUCUCGCGAUGGAGUUCCCCUGGAUACCUGCCAGAACCCCCCAAUUUUUACAGGUUGACCUCGGAUCAGGUAGGGAUACCCGCUGAACUUAA